rnacentral:rRNA from 1 species
UACAGAGGUCUCAAGCGUUGUUCGGAUUCAUUGGGCGUAAAGGGUGCGUAGGCGGCGCGGUAAGUCGGGUGUGAAAUCUUGGAGCUUAACUCCGAAACUGCAUUCGAUACUGUCGUGCUUGAGGACUGGAGAGGAGACUGGAAUUCAUGGUGUAGCAGUGAAAUGCGUAGAGAUCAUGAGGAAGACCAGUGGCGAAGGCGGGUCUCUGGACAGUUCCUGACACUGAGACACGAAGGCCAGGGGAGCAAACGGG